rnacentral:snRNA from 1 species
AGCUUUGCACAGUGGCAGUAUCGUAGCCAAUGAGGUUUAUCCGAGGCAGGAUUAUUGCUAAUUAAAAAAAGCUGCCCACAACA